rnacentral:rRNA from 1 species
GUGGGGAAUAUUGGACAAUGGGCGAAAGCCUGAUCCAGCCAUGCCGCGUGUGUGAAGAAGGUCUUCGGAUUGUAAAGCACUUUAAGUUGGGAGGAAGGGCAGUAAGUUAAUACCUUGCUGUUUUGACGUUACCGACAGAAUAAGCACCGGCUAACUUCGUGCCAGCAGCCGCGGUAAUACGAAGGGUGCAAGCGUUAAUCGGACUUACUGGGCGUAAAGCGCGCGUAGGUGGUUUUGUAAGUUGGAGGUGAAAUCCCCGGGCUCAACCUGGGAACUGCCUCCAAAACUGCAUGACUAGAGUACGGUAGAGGGUAGUGGAAUGUCCUGUGUAGCGGUGAAAUGCGUAGAUAUAGGAAGGAACACCAGUGGCGAAGGCGACUACCUGGACUGAUACUGACACUGAGGUGCGAAAGCGUGGGGAGCAAACAGGAUUAGAAACCCGUGUAGUCC